rnacentral:lncRNA from 1 species
CAUGAGUGAGCUUAAAACAUUUGCAAGGAACACUGCAGCAGAAAGCAAAGCAUUCUGAAUGACCAUUCACUGGGUUUAUUGACGACAAAGGAAACAACCCUUGGUGAACUCUCAUGAAUAUGUCGUAACCCUAGUCAGUUGGUUUGAUGCCACAGAUUGCAAUCUAAUCCAAAGCAUCUUUUUUUCUUUCUUUCCUCUGUGGUGAUUAUGUUUACAGAUUUACUCAGUAAAUACCUCCAUUCUCAACCAUCCAUUCAGGCCAGAGGUAUGUGAAGGACCUGUUGAGACGUAUUUGCCUGGGCCAGAUUAUAAAUUCAUUAAAUAUCAUCUUGUUCUUGGGACCUCAAAAGGGAAGUGUGGAAGGGAGGGUGAUCAUUAUCAUAUUAUCGAAGCAAAGCCAAGGGGAUAAAAGUAGGAACGAGACCUCUCCUUCUCUACAGACAGAUUGAAGACGCGAAGUUGCAGUUGUUGGACCAACACCAGCGAAAAGAUGUCCAAGCUCUCCUUGAUGAUUUUUACCUUCGUCAUUCUGGCCAUCAUUUUGUGCAACCACUCAGCAUGCUCUCGAAAAAGGCCAGGUAACUUUCCCUAUGAGCCUGGGAAUUGCCCAUCAUGCUUUGGAAAAAGUCUGAUGAAGUCUCAAGUCAAACACUGGAAGUGCAACAUGGGAAAUGUGGCGUGUAUUUGCUGGAAGAUACAAAAUGGCUCAUAUGGGAAACGCUGUUCCAAGAAAGGAGGUGGACUUUUCUACAAGGUUUCCACCCCUCUUUAAAAGGCCACAACUGAAUUUCAGAGCUUUCUUACUGACAUUUAUGUAUUUUUUAUUAAUAGUUACACAUAUUCUGUCCACCUGCAAUGUAACGUGCCUCUGCAUCUAACUUAAACUCAAAUAUGUCAGCAUUUCUUAAUAAUAAAGGAGAAAAACAUUUAAAUAUAGACGUUUUU